AUAAAAGGAGGUUUUUUCCGUCGUCAGGUUUACAAUCUGCCGCAAGUCUUUGCUAUUUUACCAA
rnacentral:tRNA from 1 species